rnacentral:rRNA from 1 species
CUACGGGGCGCAGCAGUAGGGAAUUUUCCACAAUGGGCGAAAGCCUGAUGGAGCAACGCCGCGUGAGGGAUGAAGGUUUUCGGAUCGUAAACCUCUUUGAUUGGGGAAGAACGCCGAUCGGUUAAUAACUGCUCGGUCUGACGGUACCCAAAAAACAAGUCACGGCUAACUCUGUGCCAGCAGCCGCGGUAAUACAGAGGUGACGAACGUUGUCCGGAAUCACUGGGCGUAAAGGGCAUGUAGGCGGUUGGAUAAGUCAGAUGUGAAAGCUCCGAGCUUAACUCGGGAACUGCAUUUGAAACUGUCCAACUUGAGUUCGGUAGAGGAGGGCGGAAUUCCUGGUGUAGCGGUGAAAUGCGUAGAUAUCAGGAGGAACACCCGUGGCGAAGGCGGCUCUCUGGUCCGACACUGACGCUGAAAUGCGAAAGCUAGGGUAGCAAACAGGAUUAGAUACCCGAGUAGUC